CAGAUGGAGUGUUACUGUCGCCGCCGUCGCCGCCGCCGCCGCCGCCGCCAGAGAGAAGACGAAAGUGCGACGCCGGAGAUGGCAUAACCGAGUCUGGAUGGACAGUCCCCCACUCACUUCAUCAAAGAAGAAGAUCAUACUCUCUCUCUCUCUGACGAAUCGUAAGUUCAAUGCUUCUGCACCCACCAUUUCUCCCGUCCGCCAGAAUUUCUUCCGAUUUUCGUUUCUUAUCGUGCGUAAUUUUCUUCUGAUUUGCGGAAAACCUUUCCUCAAUCGUUGUCGUGUUCUUCAGCAAGGUCUCUGCUUUCAAAAUUCGUUCCACAGUCGAGUCUUGUCCAUGUAAAUUUCUCAACCCACUGCUUCAGAUCGUGGACCAAUAGAGGUCCUCAAUCGUCGUCGUCGACAUCUCGCGUGCUUCUCUUGUGAGUAUGUGUAUGGUUUUUCUUUAUCAUACUGGCUGCUUUGGAAGUGUGCAUGGAGCAUUUAGUCAGAUCAUGGCCAGCGAAGAAAAGGAGCUAAUCCGCACAAGCAUGUGGCGUUCUUCUCUGCCAAUACGCAAGCAUUUGUGAUAGAAUCACGUAUGUGUAGGAGAUUUCUUACGUGUGUGAGCUCAUUAUGGAGAUGAUAUAAGGAGUCGCUUUUAUGCUUUGUUCUUAAUAAACUUCAGAGUGCUCAUCGUCAUGAGAAUUUGGAGGGAUGACUUGCGGUUUAACAUAUUGAGUUUCUGUUGUAUAACUCUCUUUCCGUCGCUCUUUGCAAAUUCUAGAAAAGUUUCUAAGAAGCUCUUGUUUGAAUCUUGAUUGAUUACGUCAUGAUUUGUACAUAAACUAUCACUAAAGUUAUCAUUUUUCAAGUACAGGGAGGACCAAACAGUUAGAAGAUUUGAGGCACCCGGAGCUGGUUUUUUAUGGUCCCACACACCCAAGACCUCUCACUGGUCUUUAAUUGGCCAACAAAUUUCAAACGGAGAAUCCCUUCUUCAAGGUGGUGAUGAGGCCAUCUUCUGUUAACUAUGGCAUGGUAAGAUCCCAAGCUUAUUUACUCAAACUGGCAUGACUGAAAAUCGAAUAUAUCAAUGCUGUUUAUAUCUUUGCCCAUACUCUAAUGUAAUUCCAAGUUCACCUCAUUAAACCACGACAUGUUCUUUUCCCUGAAGUGUUCAUGAGUAUAUGUUUAAAACCAGGUAUACAUCUUAAUGAUGGAGUA
rnacentral:lncRNA from 1 species